AACGCGAAGAACCUUACCCAGGCUUGACAUGGGAAAGACCGGACGAGAGAUCGUCCUUCUCCAGCAAUGGAGCUUUCCACACAGGUGCUGCAUGGCUGUCGUCAGCUCGUGUCGUGAGAUGUUGGGUUAAGUCCCGCAACGAGCGCAACCCUCGUUUCUAGUUGCCAUCAUUCAGUUGGGCCCUCUAGAGAGACUGCCGCGAAUAACGCGGAGGAAGGUGGGGACGACGUCAAGUCAUCAUGGCCCUUACGUCUUGGGCUACACACGUGCUACAAUGGGCAUUACAGAGGGUCGCAAGAGCGCAAGCUGGAGCCAAUCCCGAAAGGUGUCCUCAGUUCAGAUUGAGGUCUGCAACUCGACCUCAUGAAGGUGGAAUCGCUAGUAAUCGCGGAUCAGAACGCCGCGGUGAAUACGUUCCCGGGCCUUGUACACACCG
rnacentral:rRNA from 1 species